rnacentral:misc_RNA from 1 species
UGUAAUGCAGGGAGGUUUGUAUGGGACUGGCCAAGUGUCGUUCGAGGCGAAGGUUUUGUGCCUCCUGCAAAGGCCUUAAUGCCUUGUCGUGGUGGCGUGUCAGACAUCACUGGGAUUCUAAUGGGGUGUUGCCAGAUUAAUGACAACCCAGAUGGUCAGCAGGAAGAUGAAGCAAUACUGUAUAGGGGCCUCUCACAGAGCUACUAUAACGCAAGGGAAUUCUCAAUGAUAUCACAUUCUCUGUCUGAAUAUAAUACCACUGCAAUUUCCAUGCCAUGUUAUCCUACGGGUAUGAGAACUCAUAGCCUUCCUUCUGGUUUAAAUGAAGUUUCAGCUGGAGGUUCAUCUUCACAUGAGCAGAGUGACUUGACAUGGGUGCAGCCUGGGGAUAUAAAUGGUUUGAAGGGGCAGCUGGUGAAGUUGCUUGAAUUAUCUGGCGGCUGCUUGCCUCUUACACGUGUUCCUGCAGAAUACCAGAAAAUUUAUGGGAGGCCUCUUUACAUUUCAGAAUAUGGUGCAGCUAAGCUCGUGAAUCUUCUCAAGAAGAUGAGUGAUGCAAUUUCUGUCGGGGGGAAAGGCCAAAAGAAGUUUGUCUACCUACAUAAUUCAUGUGCUGUACCAAGUGCUCCCCCAAUAACUAUAUUAAAAAGAGAUAACAAAGGAAAAGGAA